rnacentral:tRNA from 1 species
UUUUUCGGGGGGUUUUCCCCCCCUAAAUUUUCGUUCAAAAAAAAUAAUAUCUUAUUAUCGAAAAUA